GAGAGUUUGAUCCUGGCUCAGAACGAACGCUGGCGGCGUGCUUAACACAUGCAAGUCGAACGUGAUUGAGAGCUUGCUCUCAUGAAAGUGGCGCACGGGUGAGUAACACGUGGAUAAUCUGCCUGGCGAUUCGGGAUAACACUUCGAAAGGGGUGCUAAUACCGGAUAAGCCCACGGUCUCUUCGGAGAGCGCGGGAAAAGGGGGCCUCUGUAUAUGCUCCUGUCGCUAGAUGAGUCCGCGGCCCAUUAGCUAGUUGGUAGGGUAAUGGCCUACCAAGGCUACGAUGGGUAGCUGGUCUGAGAGGAUGAUCAGCCACACUGGAACUGAGACACGGUCCAGACUCCUACGGGAGGCAGCAGUGGGGAAUUUUGCGCAAUGGGGGAAACCCUGACGCAGCAACGCCGCGUGAGUGAUGAAGGCCUUCGGGUCGUAAAGCUCUGUCAGAGGGGAAGAACCGCCGGGUGGCUAAUACCUGCCUGGUCUGACGGUACCCUCAAAGGAAGCACCGGCUAACUCCGUGCCAGCAGCCGCGGUAAUAC
rnacentral:rRNA from 2 species